AGUGAACGCUGGCGGUAGGCCUAACACAUGCAAGUCGAACGGCAGCACAGUAAGAGCUUGCUCUUACGGGUGGCGAGUGGCGGACGGGUGAUGAAUACAUCGGAAUCUACUUUUUCGUGGGUGAUAACGUAGGGAAACUUACGCUAAUACCGCAUACGACCUACGGGUGAAAUCAGGGGAUCUUCGGACCUUGCGCGAUUGAAUGAGCCGAUGUCGGAUUAGCUAGUUGGCGGGGUAAAGGCCCACCAAGGCGACGAUCCGUAGCUGGUCUGAGAGGAUGAUCAGCCACACUGGAACUGAGACACGGUCCAGACUCCUACGGGAGGCAGCAGUGGGGAAUAUUGGACAAUGGGCGAAAGCCUGAUCCAGCCAUGCCGCGUGGGUGAAGAAGGCCUUCGGGUUGUAAAGCCCUUUUGUUGGGAAAGAAAAGCAGCAGGUUAAUACCCCGCUGUUCUGACGGUACCCAAAGAAUAAGCACCGGCUAACUUCGUG
rnacentral:rRNA from 1 species